GCACAAGCGGUGGAGCAUGUGGUUUAAUUCGAUGAUACGCGAGGAACCUUACCUGGGCUCGAACGUAAGAUGACUGUAGGUGAAAGCUUACAUCUCUUCGGAGCAUUUUACGAGGUGCUGCAUGGUUGUCGUCAGCUCGUGCCGUGAGGUGUCGGGUUAAGUCCCAUAACGAGCGCAACCCCUACCUUUAGUUGCCAUCAGGUUAAGCUGGGGACUCUAAAGGAACUGCCUACGCAAGUAGUGAGGAAGGCGGGGAUGACGUCAAAUCAGCACGGCCCUUACGUCCAGGGCUACACACGUGCUACAAUGGCCGAUACAGAGGGCAGCUACCUGGUGACAGGAUGCAAAUCUCCAAAGUCGGUCUCAGUUCGGAUCGGAGUCUGCAACCCGACUCCGUGAAGUUGGAUUCGCUAGUAAUCGCGCAUCAGCCAUGGCGCGGUGAAUACGUUCCCGGGCCUU
rnacentral:rRNA from 1 species